rnacentral:misc_RNA from 1 species
CCAAUUUUAGCGAGCCUGAUCUUUUUGAUCAUGGUCUCGCGAAAAUCGUAUUUAAAACCCCCACUCUUAAGAAUCAUUUUUUGUGUAUAUAAAAUAAAUAAGA